rnacentral:rRNA from 1 species
AUUGAACGCUGGCGGCAUGCCUUACACAUGCAAGUCGAACGGCAGCACGGGUGCUUGCACCUGGUGGCGAGUGGCGAACGGGUGAGUAAUACAUCGGAACAUGUCCUGUAGUGGGGGAUAGCCCGGCGAAAGCCGGAUUAAUACCGCAUACGAUCCACGGAUGAAAGCGGGGGACCUUCGGGCCUCGCGCUAUAGGGUUGGCCGAUGGCUGAUUAGCUAGUUGGUGGGGUAAAGGCCUACCAAGGCGACGAUCAGUAGCUGGUCUGAGAGGACGACCAGCCACACUGGGACUGAGCCACGGCCCAGACUCCUACGGGAGGCAGCAGUGGGGAAUUUUGGACAAUGGGCGAAAGCCUGAUCCAGCAAUGCCGCGUGUGUGAAGAAGGCCUUCGGGUUGUAAAGCACUUUUGUCCGGAAAGAAAUCCUUGACUCUAAUACAGUCGGGGGAUGACGGUACCGGAAGAAUAAGCACCGGCUAACUACGUG